GCCAAACCGUAAAUUAAACUUACACCAAAAACGCCAGGGUACUACGAGCCUAGCUUAAAACCCAAAGGAUUUGACGGUGUUCCACCCAACUAGAGGAGCCUGUUCUAUAAUCGAUGAUCCACGAUACACCUAACCAUUUUUUGCUACUCAGCCUGUAUACCUCCGUCGCAAGCUUACCAUUUGAGUGAGGAGAAGUAAGCACAAGGACUUAGAGCCAACACGUCAGGUCAAGGUGCAGCUCAUAAAAUGGAAGAAAUGGGCUACAAUUUCUAAUUUAGAACAAACGAAUUAUUAUAUGAAACAAAAUCAUGAAGGUGGAUUUAGCAGUAAGCAGGGAAUAGAGAGCCCCGCUUAAUCUGGCCAUGGAACG
rnacentral:rRNA from 1 species